GUAGGUGGCAAGCGUUGUCCGGAAUUAUUGGGCGUAAAGCGCGCGCAGGUGGUUCUUUAAGUCUGAUGUGAAAGCCCCCGGGCUCAACCGGGGAGGGUCAUUGGAAACUGGGGAACUUGAGUGCAGGAGAGGAAAGUGGAAUUCCACGUGUAGCGGUGAAAUGCGUAGAUAUGUGGAGGAACACCAGUGGCGAAGGCGACUUUCUGGCCUGUAACUGACACUGAGGCGCGAAAGCGUGGGGAGCAAACAGGAUUAGAUACCCUGGUAGUCCACGCCGUAAACGAUGAGUGCUAAGUGUUGGGGGGUUUCCGCCCCUCAGUGCUGCAGCUAACGCAUUAAGCACUCCGCCUCGGGAGUACGGUCGCAAAGACUG
rnacentral:rRNA from 1 species